rnacentral:tRNA from 1 species
GAAGGGAUUCAAUAGAACUGCUAACUCUCGCACCUGAAAUUAAAACCUCAGACCCUUC